AGCGGCGGAUCUGGGAGCCUGCGGAUCCCAGAUUCCGAACUGGAGCGUCAGGGAUCUCGCGGGCCGGGCCAGGCCAGGCGGAGGCGGAGGGUGGUGGUCUCCGAGCCCGUGGAGAUGGGCAAGGCUGAGGGGUGGGGGACAGGUUGGAAGGUCUCUGAGCAUCUGACCGCGAAACAAAACUCUGCAACUGAAGGCAGGAAGCUUUGUUCUUAAAGGCGUGCUUCUGUGACCCCGCGGCUCCUGUUCUGGGACAUCUGCUUUCUCCAUCACUCCCUGGCUUCCCGGGCGGGCCCCAUCCUCCGGAGCGGAUCGGAGCAGUGCGCACAGAAGCGCCACUGUUCUGCCUUGGCAGGGCCUGGCCCGACAGCUUGUGCCUGCGCAGCAGACCCAUCCAUCUGGCGGGAAGGAUGGAGCGACGUCCGGCUGCCCGCUCUGAGGACUCCCUAGGGAGACACCUCUGCCUUGGCCCAGACUCCUCUCUUCCUUUCUCCCCAC
rnacentral:lncRNA from 1 species